CAUCUACUCCCUCCGUUCGGAAUUACUUGUCUCGAAAAUGGAUGUAUCUAGAACUAAAAUACAUCUAGAUACAUCCAUUUCUACGACAAGUAAUUCCAAACGGAGGGAGUAUAUA
rnacentral:pre_miRNA from 1 species